CUUGGAUUUACAGAUACCCAAAGAGCUGCCUGCAGCAGAGAAGGUUGAACUUCUUGUGACACAGUGGGAGGCAGAGCGCAAGAAAGAGCCAAGUGAGGAUGUCUUCAUGGUGCCAGCCAACAUCUUGGUGAUCCCUCCUGAAGAGGAGGAAGUUUGUGAUGCCUCCAAGGUAGAUGCAUGUGAAAUGACUCCAGGGAAGAGCAGUGAUGACCAAAUGGUGCCAGGUGACCAAAGUGCCAUAUCCCAAGUCAGCCCUGUGGAGUCAACAGCAUUGUCACAGAGCUCAGAGGCUUCUCUGGACAACCCCUUGGACAGGCU